ensembl:lncRNA
GGCCCAGAGAUGUGUUGGUGUGGUCCAUGAGGCCCAGAGAUGUUUUGGUGUGGUCCAGGAGGCCCAGAUAUGUGUUGGUGGGGUCCAUGAGGCCCAGAGAUGUUUUGGUGUGGUCCAGGAGGCCCAGAGAUGCGUUGGUGUGGUCCAGGAGGCCCAGAGAUGCGUUGGUGGGGUCCAUGAGGCCCAGAGAUGUUUUGGUGUGGUCCAGGAGGCCCAGAGAUGUGUUGUGUGGUCCAGGAGGCCCAGAGAUGUGUUGUGUGGUCCAGGAG